AAGCCAAUGAGGAUUUAUUUAUUUAGUUGGAGUUACCGACUGAAUUUCAACUUGAUAUCAAUUUUAGACUGGCGAUCUGUGGCUUCAA